UGUUUUUCAGGGAGGUGGUUUAAGUAAACAAGUAUAUCUCUGAAUAAGGGAUAGAACCAGUAAACUAAACCUGAGAAAAUACUCCAACAACCUGAUCUGGAUAAUGCCAGCGUAGGGACUGGGAAACAGAGGGGA
rnacentral:ncRNA from 1 species